rnacentral:rRNA from 1 species
AUGACUGGUCACACAAUCAUGCUCUCCAUGUCUAGGUGUUCUUCAUUAGCGCUAUGUGUGCUCCUUGCCACCAGCUGCCUGAUGCUAGCCGGUUGCUCCUCCGAGUCGUUGCCAACGACAAGCGAUGAUCUUCACCGUGAGCGCUCCGGCAUCAGCACCGACGACCACCAUGAUCUGAUGAUGGGCCGUUUCCACGUGUGGAUGACGGUGCAGAACAGAUCCUACUCCACCUCCGACGAGAAGGCUCGUCGGUUUGAGGUAUACAAGAGCAACAUGAGGUACAUACAGGCUGUAAAUGCUGACGCGACUACCUCUGGGCUCACGUACGAGCUUGGGGAGGGUCCCUUCACAGACCUUACAGAUGAAGAGUUCAUGGCGCUUUAUACCGGGCAGAUUCCGGAGGAUGACGAGCAGAUUAUCACCACCCGUGUUGGCCCUGUCAAUGGCGCGGGCACAUAUGAGGGUGUCAUCGCCAACUUCUCGGCCAGGGCACCGAGUAGCGUGGACUGGAGGAAGAGAGGCGCCGUCACCCCGGUUAAAGACCAAGGGGAAUGUGGAUCUUGCUGGGCAUUCGCCGCUGUGGGUGCAAUCGAAGGACUACACAAGAUCAAGAGAGGGUCCCUCGUGUCUCUGUCGGAGCAACAACUAGUAGACUGCGAUUUCUUUGACGGCGGUUGCAACGGCGGCCGGGCUAGCAGAGCUUUCCAGUGGAUCCAACAAAAUGGAGGGAUCACCACCACAUCCGCCUACGGAUACAAGGCAGCCACUGGUCGGUGCAGAACGAACCGUAAGCCGGCCGCAAAGAUCACUGGCUCCGGGAGAGUCGAGGGCAACAACGAGGUGUCGCUGAGGAACGCCGUGGCUAACCGACCUAUAGCCGUUUCGAUCGCGUCAAGUGGAAGCCAUUUCCACCACUACAAGGGAGGCAUCUUCAACGGGCCAUGCAGCACCACAAAACUGACCCAUGCCGUCACCGUAGUAGGCUAUGGGCGACAGGCACAGGAUGGUGCCAAGUAUUGGAUCGUGAAGAACUCGUGGGGGGUGACAUGGGGCGACAAAGGUUACAUGCUAAUGAAGAGGGGCACAACGAAUCCAUCAGGUCAGUGUGGCAUUGCGACACGCCCAGUCUUUCCCCUUAUGAAAGUAAGAGAAUCGACUGAUUAA